GGAACACGUACGCAACUUUCCCAAAACUGGUGAAUAGCCCUCCGAAAGGAGGAUUAAUACACCGUAACAUAAUUGGAUGGCAUCAUUUGAUUAUUAUAGCUCCGGCGGUUUUGGAUGGGCGUGCGCCUGAUUAGGUAGUUGGUAGGGUAACGGCCUACCAAGCCAACGAUCAGUAACUGGUGUGAGAGCACGACCAGUCACACGGGCAGUGAGACACGGGCCCGACUCCUACGGGAGGCAGCAGUAAGGAAUAUUGGUCAAUGGACGCAAGUCUGAACCAGCCAUGCCGCGUGAAGGAUGAAGGCCCUCUGGGUUGUAAACUUCUUUUACAGGGGACGAAAAAAGGGAAUCUUCUCACUGACGGUA
rnacentral:rRNA from 1 species